rnacentral:rRNA from 1 species
AGGACGAACGCUGGCGGCGUGCUUAACACAUGCAAGUCGAGCGGAAAGGCCCUUCGGGGUACUCGAGCGGCGAACGGGUGAGUAACACGUGAGUAAUCUGCCCCUAGCUCUGGGAUAGCUCCGGGAAACCGGGAUUAAUACCAGAUACGACCACUUUAGACAUCUGCUGUGGUGGAAAGAAUUUCGGCUAGGGAUGAGCUCGCGGCCUAUCAGCUUGUUGGUGAGGUAACGGCUCACCAAGGCGACGACGGGUAGCCGGCCUGAGAGGGCGACCGGCCACACUGGGACUGAGACACGGCCCAGACUCCUACGGGAGGCAGCAGUGGGGAAUAUUGCGCAAUGGGCGAAAGCCUGACGCAGCGACGCCGCGUGGGGGAUGAAGGCCUUCGGGUUGUAAACCCCUUUCAGCAGGGACGAAGCGAAAGUGACGGUACCUGCAGAAGAAGCACCGGCUAACUACGCGCCAGCAGCCGC